UUGUGGUCACAUCACGCUGAAUCACCGAUUUCCGUGCAAUCACCGAAUUUAAGCAACGUUGAGUCUGGUCAGUACCUAGAUAGGUGACCGCUUGGGAACACCGGGUGCUAUC